rnacentral:rRNA from 1 species
UACGUAGGGUGCGAGCGUUAAUCGGAAUUACUGGGCGUAAAGCGCACGUAGGCGGCUUUCUAAGUCGGGGGUGAAAUCCUGGAGCUCAACUCCAGAACUGCCUUCGAUACUGGCGAUCUUGAGUCUGGGAGAGGUGAGUGGAACUCCGAGUGUAGAGGUGAAAUUCGUAGAUAUUCGGAAGAACACCAGUGGCGAAGGCGGCUCACUGGCCCGGUACUGACGCUGAGGUGCGAAAGCGUGGGGAGCAAACAGG